GGCAGACCCCUGACGCAGAUGUUAUCUGUCGGAUAAGUUCGCUGUUGAACACGUCGCUCUAAGUUGGCUGAAAGCUGGAGAGGAAAAGGAGAACCGCAUCAAAUCAAAUGCCCUCUGAGGCUCAGGAGCCUCGGGACAGAGGACCGCCCCCUCCCGUCACCCGGGCUGGGGCCAAAGCCGCAGCCACAAGCUCCGCCCUUGAGAAGCGGCCCCGUGGGCGGCCCCCGGAAAGAUGGGAGCAAUGGCCGCAAGGCGGCGCCGCCGCCUCCCUCCUCCUCCUCCUCCUGCAUCCAGGAAGAAGGGGCGGAGCCGAGGAAGAGCUCAGGUAGAGGAUGAAGAGAGCAAGGGCCCUCCAGAAAAGAACCGGGCCCAGAAGAAGUCAGAGUCCAAGGAACCCAAGGAGCCGGAGGAGGCGAAGCCCACGGGGCGCCGGCGCUCCACCUCCAGGGGAAAGUC